CCUACGGGAGGCAGCAGUAAGGAAUAUUGCGCAAUGGGCGACAGCCUGACGCAGCGACGCCGCGUGGGGGAUGAAGGUCUUCGGAUUGUAAACCCCUUCCGGCAGGGAAGAUGGAACGGGCAACCGUUCGGACGGUACCUGCAGAAGCAGCCACGGCUAACUUCGUGCCAGCAGCCGCGGUAAU
rnacentral:rRNA from 1 species